UGCACGUCUGCUCACACGACCGACCCGCGAAGGACAAGAGACAGGCGGUGUGGAAAAGGACGGCCGCGGCCCUCAUUCUCCCCCCCCGCCUUCCUACUGCAGCAACUGCGGUACGCCCUGCGCAAAGAAGCCGUGACACGCUGCAGAAGCGUCCAGUCAGAAGGUGGCAGAGAUAUUUAAGCAUGUUCCCCCUCCCCCUUCCCAGAAUACGGACGGGAUGUGUGGGUAUGGUGCUGGUUCAUUUCUGGCCAUUGCUCAGCACCCCAUCUUGGAUUUGUAUACUUCUGACCUGGCUUACGGAGGUUUCUGUUCACAAAGAAAGCGAUGUUUGCUGUGGGAAAAUGUGAGGAAAAUCUAAUUUGUGCUCGGAGACAUCAUGGGUGUAUGAGACAUUAAAGUAACACUCAGGGCAAUUCACUUGAAGCUGCCUUAUCCUGAAUCAAACCAUCAAGCAAGAGGAGAUAAUAGCAAAGAUAAUGGAAACUGCGGAAAUGGACAAAUUAACUUCGUUAAUGAAAGGACAAAUGGAAGAAGACUUUUCCGCGCCAUGGGACCCCUUCUACAAAUGGAGGAAGAAUAAAUAUAACGAUUAAAUAUAAUGUAAUAUUAAGGCAAUAAUAUAUGAUAUAACAGAACUCACAGUUAAAGAUGUAUUAAGAAGAAACACAUAAUGUGGAGAACUAGAAUACUGAUAGUUUAGGUGGGCAGCUGUGUUAGUCUGUAGUAGAACAGCAGGAUUUUAGUCCCAGGGCACCUUAGAGACCAACAAGAUUUUCAGAGCAUAAGCUUUCCAGAGUUAGAGCGCCUGCCUUCAGACAUGUGGCAUGUGGAGUUAUUUGCACAAUUCUUUAGAUCCUGACCAGUGUAUUCAGUUAUUUCGGUUAUGUUUUGCAUGAAGUCUUGUCCAGAAGUAUACAAUUUCUUCAUUUUACCACCAGAUAUGAA